CCGUGGAACAAUUACGUCGGAGCGAACCUGAGCCGUUCUGGAAGCCUGCCGCCGGCACGGACGGGCUGCCCUUCCCCGAGGCUGCGGGAGGCUGCGGUUCCUCCGGCGGCCGGCGAUGCAAGAUGCUGGGCUUGAAUCCUUCUGGAUGCGGUCGACCAGUUUCCGGUGCGAGCGGAGUUCGCGGACAGCCUGGAACAUCCAGAUCCGGUGCCUCUUGCGGUGCUCCCGCGACGUGAUGUCACCCCUGCUACGCCGGCGGAUUCGAAUGCUGGCUCCGGGUGCAGGCAGCACGUUGGUUGCGCUAGCCCUGGGAGGACGCAGGGUGAAAAUCGGUGUCGACGGCCGGGCUCUCCGACGAGGUCUGUGCAGUCCACCCACAGGGUAAAUCCAGAGGCGCCGGGAUGGACCAAAAGGUUACAUCUUGGGAGUGCGCCACCGGACAGAACGCCGUGUCCAUAUAGGAUGAGUGCUUUAGAGCAGUCAAUUCGCAAGUAUGCCCCUGCUCCCCGCUCGUCGCAGUCCUGGCAUCCCGCUUGUCCUCACAUGCGUCGUCUUUCUGUCUCCGCCGGUGCCGCCACUACUCGCUGCUCGUUGCUGCCAGUCGAGCAAGAUCUCCGGUGCUGCGGUGGACAAGCACAAGACGCCAACGGAGGAAGAGAAUAGGAAUCCGGCGUGGGAGGAUGAGGAGGACAAGGAUCAGGCGAGAAAGGAGGUGGUUAUAGCAACUGUUACAAUGAAGAAAAAGCCAUCACUGGUUUGUCACAGCAGAAGGUGGGUGCAGGAGAUGAUGAUGAUGAUGCGCUGCUAAUAUUGGACUUGCCAGCGUAUUCUCAUUUCAGCAAAGGGUCAUUUUUGUGGCAGCCCAGAGAUAGGAAAACUGUGUCUAGUCAAGACCUACUUAGCAACAAAGAGACAGGUCUUCAGAGCAGCUGCCAUUGACUUGGAAAAGUUCAGCACUAAAAUUUGAUGUUCAGGAGAACCAAAUUCAUCAUAAAUAAGGGGCUGCCAUUGACUUGUCGUUCAUCGCAAAGUUCAGGAGAAUCUGAAUGUAUGUUCAGAACUAUGAAAUCUGGUGUUCAAGCACAUGUUCAGGAUGUGAAAUCUGAAACCUGAAUCUGAUGUUUAAGCUAGCAGUGAUGUAUGCUCACUGAAAUUAUGUUAGUUUUAAAACUGCUCGUUGCUGCAUUUGAUAAACUGAAUCUAACACUGUAUCAAAUGGAUCGAAGAUUUGCUCGUUGCUGCAAGUCUUAAUGUAGUUUUAACAUUGUUCAGGACUGAAAUCUG